GAUGAACGCUGGCGGCGUGCUUAACACAUGCGAGUCGAACGAGAAGUGAAGACGGAAACCUUCGGGCGGAAGGCUUUAUUUCGAGUGGCGGACGGGUGAGUAACGCGUGGGUAACCUGCCUCAUACAGGGGGAUAACAGUUGGAAACGACUGUUAAUACCGCAUAAGACCACAGCACCGCAUGGUGCGGGGGUAAAAACUCCGGUGGUAUGAGAUGGACCCGCGUUCGAUUAGCCAGUUGGCGGGGUAACGGCCCACCAAAGCGACGAUCGAUAGCCGAUCUGAGAGGAUGACCGGACACAUUGGGACUGAGACACGGCCCAAACUCCUACGGGAGGCAGCAGUGGGGAAUAUUGCACAAUGGGGGAAACCCUGAUGCAGCGACGCCGCGUGAGUGAAGAAGUAUUUCGGUAUGUAAAGCUCUAUCAGCAGGGAAGAAAAUGACGGUACCUGAGUAAGAAGCCCCGGCUAACUACGUG
rnacentral:rRNA from 1 species